UUUCCGUAGGUGAACCAGCGGAAGGAUCAUUAGUGAACGCCAACGCGGGCCUACAAUUGUUCCAAUACUCUGUGAAUCGCGCCGUCCGGGGCUAUCUCACAAACACGGUGUAUGGAACGCCACAUAACACAACAAAACAAACCUUACACCAACGGAUCUCUUGGCUCUCGCAUUGAUGGAGAAUGCAGAAGAUAGGAAGUGCACAAGGCUGAACUCCAGUCACUUCGGACGAUUUUGCACGUCGGCUUCUGCGAGAAAAAAUCUAAAUUCCUACUACGU
rnacentral:misc_RNA from 1 species